AACAGGAUUAGAUACCCUGGUAGUCCAUGCCGUAAACGUUGGGCGCUAGGUGUGGGGCUCAUUCCACGAGUUCCGUGCCGCAGCUAACGCAUUAAGCGCCCCGCCUGGGGAGUACGGCCGCAAGGCUAAAACUCAAAGGAAUUGACGGGGGCCCGCACAAGCGGCGGAGCAUGCGGAUUAAUUCGAUGCAACGCGAAGAACCUUACCAAGGCUUGACAUAUACCGGAAACAUCUAGAGAUAGGUGCCCCGCAAGGUCGGUAUACAGGUGGUGCAUGGUUGUCGUCAGCUCGUGUCGUGAGAUGUUGGGUUAAGUCCCGCAACGAGCGCAACCCUCGUUCUAUGUUGCCAGCGCGUUAUGGCGGGGACUCAUAGGAGACUGCCGGGGUCAACUCGGAGGAAGGUGGGGAUGACGUCAAAUCAUCGUGCCCCUUACGUCUUGGGCUUCACGCAUGCUACAAUGGCCGGUACAAAGGGCUGCGAUACCGCGAGGUGGAGCGAAUCCCAAAAAACCGGUCUCAGUUCGGAUUGGGGUCUGCAACUCGACCCCAUGAAGUCGGAGUCGCUAGUGAUCGCAGAUCAGCAACGCUGCGGUGAAUACGUUCCCGGGCCUUGUACACACCGCCCGUCAAGUCACGAAAGUCGGUAACACCCGAAGCCGGUGGCCCAACCCUUGUGGAGGGAGCCGUCGAAGGUGGGACUGGUGAUUGGGACUAAGUCGUAACAAGGUAACC
rnacentral:rRNA from 1 species